AGCCUGAACGCUGGCGGCGUGGCUAAGACAUGCAAGUCGUACGGAGGUAGCAAUACCUCAGUGGCGAACGGGUGAGUAAUGAAUCGCUAACGUGCCCUGGACUUCGGGAUAGCUAUCCGAAAGGGUAGGUAAUACCGGGUGAUAUACCCUUUCCGCAUGGAAGGGGUCUCAAAGGUCCGCCGGUCUUCGGUGGAUGGUCUGGGAGCGGGCGAUUUCGUAUCAGCUAGUUGGUGGGGUAACGGCCCACCAAGGCGACGACGCGUAGCCGGACUGAGAGGUUGGCCGGCCACAUUGGGACUGAGACACUGCCCAGACUCCUACGGGGGCUGCAGUAACGAAUCUUCCGCAAUGCACGAAAGUGUGACGGAGCGACGCCGCGUGGAGGACGAAGUUCUUCGGAAUGUAAACUCCUGUCAGGGGAAAGAAGUUCUGAUCUACCCCAGAGGAAGAGGCGGCUAACUCUGUGCCAGCAGCCGC
rnacentral:rRNA from 1 species